CACUUGCCAGCCAAAUUUUCAAAAGAGCCCAGUUUGCUGACAUAAAUGGGGUUGCUGAUGUGCCGAAGGAGAAGGAAGUGCUGGAGAACAUAUUCCUCCCUGGGUUCAAGUCUCUCCCAUCUUAUCUUUCCCUUCCAUAUGUUUCCUCUGUAAUGAGAGGAAUUAUUUAUCAUUAAAGUGAUAUAUAAUUUAAAAAUUAAAGUUAAUGAAUGCUUAAAUUAAUUUACUGACAAAAACAAAUGUCUGUCCUUCAGAUCCUAUAAUUUUAAUUGGAGUGGGCUACGGCUUAAUUAACAUGUAUUGAUUGUAGUCCUGAGUGCAUCUAUAGGUGGGUGGACUGUGUUGGGAGAAAUCCUCCUCAGAGAUGAAGAUUUGCUGAUAACAUUCUGAAUAAUUGUCUUGUGAAGAGACAGAAGUCUUUGCUGUUUUCUCUGCAGAAAGCUUUAAACAAAAGGUGCAUGAAGAAGACAGAAAAUUGGAGGAGAGCUGGAGCAAAUAAAGAAGUGAAUGCUACUGGAAACUUUUUGGGGGACAAAAAGACAGUUUUAUAACAUCAAGAAGAAUGGAAAAGCUGCAAGGCAUGCACACUCAAGACGCCGUGCUCCUGGAAAGUUCUGGAUGGGCUCCAGGCAAUGUUUGGUGGCAAAGAAAGAUGAAGGUCUUGGAAAGAAGAGGAAAUCAUCAGCCAAGCCCUCAUCCUGCAAUAUUCCUGUUUCUGUGAGCUGGGGAUGCCAUUGGAGCAUUGGGAAGGACAGAAAAAAUAUGUUCCUGCAGCAUCACGUGUCUGAGGGUGAGUUCUGAUUGCAGCAAUAACAGCUUCUUCUGUUCCACCCCACUGAAUUUUCCUGGUGCAAUGAAAAUGAGCCAU